GUGGACAUGAGGCUGGCUGGAGGCAGGACAGGGGUUGACAAGAGCCCCCAAAUUCCACUUUGAAUUUCAGGUUCAGGAGAAACAGAACUGAAGCCAAGGAAUUUCACCUCCUCUGCUAGCACCCCCUGGUGGACUCUCUCAGUGGUGGCUUAGUUGCAUGAUGUUCCCUUCAUGUCCUGGCUUCCUGGGCCAGGAUGUUUCCUACAAGCCAUUUCACAGCUUCUCCGCCUCAGGGCACAGCAGGGCUCUGGUCUGUUCCUAGCUCCAGCUGGCUGCUUGGCGAGUCUUCGUGCCUGGAUGCUGUGCUGCCAGCUCAUGCAUUUGGAUAGGAUUUUAUGCAUUGUUGUAUCAAUGCUAUACAUUUCCAUUCAGUUAUAUGGGCAUGUUGUAAAACAGUUCCACAUUAGGGCCUCUCUCCUGCUGAGGGCCCUGUGUUGACAGACAAGCAGCUUGUGCAUUUGUGAAUCCUGUGUGGUUCUUUUAGGGCAACCAAACGCUGAUUUGACAAGGACUUCCAGGGAGCUGAUAUCUAAUAAUGGUGCCACAGGUCCAUGGCAAAUAUACCAUGGGCCAGCCCACUUCCUGGGGAGCCCCAUUGCACCAGCCUGGCCCCUGAAGUUUUUCCUGACCUGCAGGAAGUGAGGUUUACACGACCUCAGUAUUAUUCAUAAACCCAUUCCCCAGCAUGGGUCAGCAGUGAUUACAGUGCACCUUCUGAGAAGGUUCAAGCACCUGAACA